rnacentral:lncRNA from 1 species
GUGUCAUAGUGUGUGUGUGAAGAAUGAUUCAAUAAUACCUGUUAAAUGAGUAAACAAUUAAAUAACUUAAUAACCAAGUGGAGAGUUCACAAAUUUGAGUAAUUCAAAGAAAACGGAACAAAAACAGCUUACUAUGAAUCUCAAAAUCAAAAUAUAAUACAAUAAGACCUGUACGGCCAAGGCGCAUGUACGGUACAGCAGUAAUAGAGCAAAAUCAAAAUAUAAUACAAUAAGACUAUUAGGAUGCGUCUCAAAAGUCGUGACUCUUUACACGGCCAUCCUAGACAAAAAAGCAAAAUUUUUUUUUGUUUUUUUUAACAAAGAAAGGAAAAGAGAAAAGAGAAAAACAACACACAUAUUUAAAAACAUACGUCAAUUAUCCCCACCCACAACCUAAUCUAAACAUUAUCUUAACAUUUUAUAAUUUUACAAAUAUGCAAAAAAAAAAAGUAAAUAAUAAUAAAAAUAAAAAUAAAAGAGAAUAAUAAAAGAAGAAGAAGAGGCAUGUUAUUGCUAGCCCUCUAGCAAUUAAAGAGUUAUAUUAAAUUAAGAUUUAUAAAAUUCACAUGCAAGUUAAUAGUUGUUUAUCUAUCCUCUAAAUUACCAAAUAAAUGAACUCUCCCAAAUUCCUUUACCACAUUGAUGUUCACUCAUUAUCCAGAAUAUCAUCAAACCUUCUUUUGUGCUCAAGUAAUUAACACAAUACUUAUGGGGCUUCAUUAAAAGAAAAACAACAUUUUCGUUCCAAAAUUCAUUAGAAAUUAUAUCUUUAGGUAAUAGAUUAUUCACACAUUUUUUUUAAAUAUUACAUUUCUAACCCGUGUAGCGAGCUUUAGGUCAAUGACUCCCAGACCAGUUGGCCUUAGGGCACUAGGUGUUGAAGCACCCCUACGGACUUAAUUACUCGGGUUUCUAAUAAACAAACAAUAUAUCUAUUACCCAUGUAGCGAGCUUUAUGCCAGUGACUCCCAGACCAGUUGACCUUAGGGCACUAGGUGUUGAAGCACCCCUACGGACUUAAUUACUCGGGUUUCUAAUAAACAAACAAUAUAUCUAUUACCCAUGUAGCGAGCUUUAUGCCAGUGACUCCCAGACCAGUUGACCUUAGGGCACUAGGUGUUGAAGCACCCCUACGGACUUAAUUACUCGGGUUUCUAAUAAACAAACAAUAUAUCUAUUACCCAUGUAGCGAGCUUUAUGCCAGUGACUCCCAGACCAGUUGACCUUAGGGCACUAGGUGUUGAAACACCCCUACGGACUUAAUUACUCGGGUUUUUAGAUAUAACAAAAUUAAAAACAUUUUUUCUUCUUCUUUUUUUUUUUUGAUUUUUUUUUUGUUUUUUUGUUUUUUUGGAAAUAUACACUUUCUACUACCUUAGAUACUUUUCCUAAUAAAUCAAAAGAACUAAAUGCUGUAAAACUUUAACUUACAACCCACUAGUAUGUGUCAUAGUGUGUGUGUGAAGAAUGAUUCAAUAAUACCUGUUAAAUGAGUAAACAAUUAAAUAACUUAAUAACCAAGUGGAGAGUUCACAAAUUUGAGUAAUUCAAAGAAAAGGGAACAAAAACAACUUACUAUGAAUCUCAAAAU